rnacentral:rRNA from 1 species
GCCUACGGCCACGCCAUCCUGAACAAGCCUGAUCCCGUCUGAUCUCAGAUGCUAAGCAGGGUCGGGCCUGGUUAGUCCUUGGAUAGGAGGCCACCUAGGAAGACCAGAUGCUGUAGGCG